UGCCAGCAGCCGCGGUAAUACGGAGGGUGCAAGCAUUAAUCGGAUUUAUUGGGCGUAAAGGGCGCGUAGGCGGAUGAAAAAGUCAGUUGUGAAAUUCCGAUGCUCAACAUCGGAGCUGCAACUGAAACUCUUUAUCUUGAGGAUAGGCGGAGAAAACGGAAUUCCACGUGUAGCGGUGAAAUGCGUAGAUAUGUGGAAGAACACCGGUGGCGAAGGCGGUUUUCUAGCUUAUUCCUGACGCUGAGGCGCGAGAGCAUGGGGAGCAAACAGGAUUAGAUA
rnacentral:rRNA from 1 species